ACCUAAUAGAUACCCUGGUAGUCCACGCCCUAAACGAUGCGAACUGGAUGUUGGGUACAUUACGGUACUCAGUGUCGAAAGCUAAACGCGUUAAGUUCGCCGCCUGGGGAGUACGGUCGCAAGACUGAAACUCAAAGGAAUUGACGGGGGCCCGCACAAGCGGUGGAGUAUGUGGUUUAAUUCGAUGCAACGCGAAGAACCUUACCUGGCCUUGACAUCUGUCGAAUCCUGCAGAGAUGCGGGAGUGCCGCAAGGAACGACAAGACAGGUGCUGCAUGGCUGUCGUCAGCUCGUGUCGUGAGAUGUUGGG
rnacentral:rRNA from 1 species